rnacentral:rRNA from 1 species
UACGAAGGGUGCAAACGUUGCUCGGAAUCAUUGGGCGUAAAGCGCACGUAGGCGGCGCUGCAAGUCGGACGUGAAAUCCCUCGGCUCAACCGAGGACGUGCAUCCGAAACUGCAGUGCUCGAGUAUGGAAGAGGGUCGCGGAAUUCUCGGUGUAGAGGUGAAAUUCGUAGAUAUCGAGAGGAACACCGGUGGCGAAGGCGGCCUUCUGGACAGAAACUGACGCUGAGACGCGAAAGCGUGGGGAGCAAACAGG